rnacentral:rRNA from 1 species
UACGUAGGGUGCGAGCGUUUGUCCGGAAUUAUUGGGCGUAAAGGGCUCGUAGGCGGUUUGUCGCGUCGGGAGUGAAAACAUCGGGCUUAACUCGAUGCUUGCUUUCGAUACGGGCAGACGUUGAGGUAUGCAGGGGAGAAUGGAAUUCUGGUGUAGCGGUGAAAUGCGCAGAUAUCAGGAGGAACACCGGUAGCGAAGGCGGUUCUCUGGGCAUUACCUGACGCUGAGGAGCGAAAGUGUGGGGAGCGAACAGG